CAUAUGGAAGUCCUGCCUUACCUAUUUCGUGUACGUGCCAAUCAAUUUCCUGAUAUUUUUUAUCCUAGUUUUGAGGUGCUAGAUGGAGGAUUUUGGGUAUACAUUGAGCAAUGUCAUGGAAAGUUCAUCGACAAUCCAUCUAAGUUCCAAUUCUCAUACGCAAUGCAAGAAUAUGUGCUGGGGAUUCGAAUGAAGGAGUCCAAGCCAUGGAAAUACGUAAAUCAUUUGUUGAUUCCACUAAACAAGCGCAACAUACAUUGGGUGGUAGGGCACGUGGACUUAAAAGAGCGUCGCAUGACUGUAUAUGAUUAAGAUAAGGCUGGUAACCGAUACAAGGGACAAAUUUAUUUCCAGAAAUUAUGCAUAAUGUUACCAUAUUUACUGCGGUCUGCAUCCUUUUAUGAGCAGCGGCCGGAUCUUGUAGACUCCGUUGACGAGUUUACAUGUGAAUUGGCACAAAAUACCCCUCAGCAAAGUAACGGUGGUGACUGUGGCAUAUUUACACUCAAGACCAUCGAAUUCUUACAUGCUAGAUUACCAUUGACAUUCACACAAGAUAACAUGGAGUUCUUUAGGAAGAAGUAUGCGUAUGAGGUUUACAACAA